rnacentral:rRNA from 2 species
GCUCAGGAUGAACGCUAGCUACAGGCUUAACACAUGCAAGUCGAGGGGUAGCAGGGUAGCAAUACCGCUGACGACCGGCGCACGGGUGAGUAACACGUAUCCAACCUUCCCAUAACUCGGGGAUAGCCUUUCGAAAGAAAGAUUAAUACCCGAUAGUACUUUAUUAAGGCAUCUUAAGAAAGUUAAAGAUUUAUUGGUUAUGGAUGGGGAUGCGUUCCAUUAGAUAGUUGGUGAGGUAACGGCUCACCAAGUCUUCGAUGGAUAGGGGUUCUGAGAGGAAGGUCCCCCACAUUGGUACUGAGACACGGACCAAACUCCUACGGGAGGCAGCAGUGAGGAAUAU